AAUGAACGCUGGCGGCAGGCCUAACACAUGCAAGUCGAGCGCCCCGCAAGGGGAGUGGCGCACGGGUGAGUAACGCGUGGGAAUAUGCCCUUCGGUUCGGAAUAACACAGGGAAACUUGUGCUAAUACCGGAUACGAUCUACGGAUGAAAGAUUCAUCGCCGAAGGAGUAGCCCGCGUAGGAUUAGCUAGUUGGUGAGGUAAUGGCUCACCAAGGCGACGAUCCUUAGCUGGUCUGAGAGGAUGAUCAGCCACACUGGGACUGAGACACGGCCCAGACUCCUACGGGAGGCAGCAGUGGGGAAUAUUGGACAAUGGGCGAAAGCCUGAUCCAGCCAUGCCGCGUGAGUGAUGAAGGCCUUAGGGUUGUAAAGCUCUUUCGCCAGGGAAGAUAAUGACGGUACCUGGAAAAGAAGCCUCGGCUAACUCCGUGCCAGCAGCCGCAGUAACAC
rnacentral:rRNA from 1 species